UACGUAGGGUGCGAGCGUUGUCCGGAAUUAUUGGGCGUAAAGAGCUCGUAGGCGGUGUGUCACGUCGUUCGUGAAAACCUGCAGCUUAACUGUGGGCGUGCGGUCGAUACGGGCAUCACUGGAGUUCGGCAGGGGAGACUGGAAUUCCUGGUGUAGCGGUGAAAUGCGCAGAUAUCAGGAGGAACACCGGUGGCGAAGGCGGGUCUCUGGACCAUUACUGACGCUGAUGCACGAAAGCUAGGGGAGCAAACAGG
rnacentral:rRNA from 1 species